GCAAGUCGAACGAGAAAGUCACUUCGGUGGCGAGUACAGUGGCGCACGGGUGAGUAACGCGUAGAUGAUCUACCCUUCAGUCUGGGACAACUCUUGGAAACGGGAGCUAAUACCGGAUAAAACCUUCGGGUUGAAAGAUUUAUCGCUGGGGGAUGAGUCUGCGUACCAUUAGCUUGUUGGUGGGGUAACGGCCUACCAAGGCGACGAUGGUUAGCGGGUCUGAGAGGACGAUCCGCCACACUGGAACUGAGACACGGUCCAGACUCCUACGGGAGGCAGCAGUAGGGAAUAUUGCGCAAUGGGGGCAACCCUGACGCAGCAAUGCCGCGUGAGUGAAGAAGGCCUUCGGGUCGUAAAGCUCUUUUAUGGGGGAAGAUGAUGACGGUACCCCAUGAAUAAGCACCGGCUAACUACGUGCCAGCAGCCGCGGUAAUACGUAGGGUGCGAGCGUUGUUCGGAAUUACUGGGCGUAAAGGGCGUGCAGGCGGAUUGGCAAGCCGGAGGUGAAAGCCCGGGGCUCAACCCCGGAGGGUCUUUCGGAACUGCCAGUCUUGAGAGGGUCAGGGGCCAGCGGAAUUCCUGGUGUAGAGGUGAAAUUCGUAGAGAUCAGGAGGAACACCGGCGGCGAAAGCGGCUGGCUGGGGCCACUCUGACGCUGAGGCGCGAAAGCGUGGGGAGCAAACAGGAUUAGAUACCCUGGUAGUCCACGCCGUAAACGAUGGGCACUAAGCGUCCGACGGGUUCGACCCUGUUGGGUGCUGCAGUUAACGCGUUAAGUGCCCCGCCUGGGGAGUACGGUCGCAAGACUA
rnacentral:rRNA from 1 species